rnacentral:rRNA from 1 species
UACGGAGGGUGCAAGCGUUAUCCGGAUUCACUGGGUUUAAAGGGUGCGUAGGUGGGUCUGUAAGUCAGUGGUGAAAUCUCCGGGCUCAACCUGGAAACUGCCAUUGAUACUAUUAGUCUUGAAUUUUGUUGAGGUAGGCGGAAUAAGUCAUGUAGCGGUGAAAUGCAUAGAUAUGACUUAGAACACCAAUUGCGAAGGCAGCUUGCUAAACAAAUAUUGACGCUGAGGCACGAAAGCGUGGGGAUCAAACAGG